AGGAAACUUUACGCAGAUUCUUUUUUUUUUACUUUCCUUCUUUCCUUUUGAGGGUUAGAGAAAUGAAAAAAAAAAAUAGAUAUAUAUAUUUAUAGGGAUUGU
rnacentral:ribozyme from 1 species